rnacentral:rRNA from 1 species
ACGGCCCAAACUCCUACGGGAGGCAGCAGUAGGGAAUCUUCCGCAAUGGACGAAAGUCUGACGGAGCAACGCCGCGUGAGUGAUGAAGGUUUUCGGAUCGUAAAACUCUGUUGUUAGGGAAGAACAAGUACCGUUCGAAUAGGGCGGUACCUUGACGGUACCUAACCAGAAAGCCACGGCUAACUACGUGCCAGCAGCCGCGGUAAUACGUAGGUGGCAAGCGUUGUCCGGAAUUAUUGGGCGUAAAGCGCGCGCAGGCGGUUUCUUAAGUCUGAUGUGAAAGCCCGCGGGCUCAACCGGGGAGGGUCAUUGGGAAACUGGGGAACUUGAGUGCAGAAGAGGGGAGUCGCAUUCCCACGUGUACCGGUGAAAUGCGUAGAGAUGUGGAGGAACACCAGUGGCGAAGGGCGACUCUCUGGUCUGUAACUGACGCUGAGGCGCGAAAGCGUGGGGAGCGAACAGGAUUAGAUACCCUGGUAGUCCACGCCGUAAACGAUGAGUGCUAAGUGUUAGAGGGUUU